UACAGAGGUCCCAAGCGUUGUUCGGAUUCACUGGGCGUAAAGGGUGCGUAGGUGGUCGGGUAAGUCUGAUGUGAAAUCUCUGGGCUCAACCCCAGAAAUGGCAUUGGAUACUAUUCGGCUAGAGGAGUGGAGGGGGACUGGAAGUACUUGGUGUAGCAGUGAAAUGCGUAGAUAUCAAGUGGAACACCAGUGGCGAAGGCGAGUCCCUGGACACUUCCUGACACUGAGGCACGAAAGCUAGGGGAGCAAACAGG
rnacentral:rRNA from 1 species